rnacentral:rRNA from 1 species
UACAGAGGGGUGACAGUGUUCGGUGAAUUACUGGGCGUAAAGGGCGCGUAGGCGGUCUUGUAAGUCUUGUGUGAAAUCCCUCGGCUCAACUGAGGAACUGCACGGGAUACUGCGAGACUUGAGUUCGGGGAGAGGGAAGCGGAAUUCCGGGUGUAGCGGUGAAAUGCGCAGAUAUCAGGAGGAACGACCGGUGGCGAAGGCGGAUCUCUGGGCCGAUAACUGACGCUGAGGAGCGAAAGCAUGGGGGAGCGAACAGG